ACCGUACUCCUACGGGAGGCAGCAGUGGGGAAUUUUGGACAAUGGGGGCAACCCUGAUCCAGCAAUGCCGCGUGAGUGAAGAAGGCCUUCGGGUUGUAAAGCUCUUUUGUCAGGGAAGAAACGGUAGUAGCUAAUAUCUAUUACUAAUGACGGGACCUGAAGAAUAAGCACCGGCUAACUACGUGCCAGCAGCCGCGGUAAUACGUAGGGUGCAAGCGUUAAUCGGAAUUACUGGGCGUAAAGCGUGCGCAGGCGGUUGUGUAAGUCAGAUGUGAAAUCCCCGGGCUCAACCGGGGAAUUGCAUUUGAGACUGCACGGCUAGAGUGUGUCAGAGGGGGGUAGAAUUCCACGUGUAGCAGUGAAAUGCGUAGAUAUGUGGAGGAAUACCGAUGGGGAAGGCAGCCCCCUGGGACAACACUGACGCUCAUGCACGAAAGCGUGGGGAGCAAACAGGAUUAGAUACCCCAGUAGUCCUUGAC
rnacentral:rRNA from 1 species